GAUAAUUUCAGUGCUCGCUCGGUUUCAUCUCUGUUUUUUUCCCCUCCCCUUGACCCCAGUGCUCACUCCCAACCUCAUCCUGUCGCAAAAACCCUAGCCCUAAACCCUAGUAUCUCUCUCUAUCUUCCUCUGUCUAAAACAUGUUUCUCUCCAUUCCCUCUCUCUCCUUCAGACCCCUGUCAACUCUCCCCCCCCCCCCCGCCGCCGGCGCCGGCGCUCACAAACACAACCCCUCACCCUCCGACGAAGACCCCCCUGAAGCUCCCGAGGACUCCUCCCACGGCGUCUCCAAGCUCCAGCAGUUCGAGCGCCACGUCGCCCGAGCCAAAAAGGCCCAGGAGGCCCAAUUCAAGCAGGACCAGUCCCUCUUCAUAUCUGCCCUAGGCCUAGAAUCCGACCCCCCUCAAGACCCCCACGCUCCCAAAGCGUCCUCCGGCGACGACCUCUUCGGCGACAUUGACACCGCCAUUGCCCUCAAGCGCCAGGAAUUCGUCUCCCGGGGCCUCCUCAAGCCCAACCAGCCUAAAAAGGACCCAGCUUUGGACACCGUCGACGAGCUGUCGGCGGAGGAAGUCGUGGAUCUUGAAGAGAUUAAGGAGCUCCACGGGUUGACUGUCAUCUCCGAGGAUGAGCGCAGCGAGGACGAGGUAAUCAGUCAUUUGGACUCGAACGGGUCUGUGAAUGCGUCUUCGUUUGACAUAAAUCUUGAUGGGUUGGAGAGUUCCAGAGCUAGGAUUGCAGAGCCUAUGUUUAGGAUGACGCUUGCUGAGCUCUUGGAUGAGAGCCGGGUUGUGCCCGCGUCUGUUUUUGGCGACUUGGAGGUGGUGAUCACUGGGAUUCAGCAUGAUUCAAGGGAAGUGAGCGCUGGAGAUUUGUUUGUUUGUUGCGAGGGGAGUAAGACUGAUGGGCAUGCUUAUUUGACUGAGGCUGAUAAGAGAGGAGCAGUGGCCGUGGUGGCCAAUAAGGAGAUUAAUAUCGAUGAGACAUUGGGAUGUAAGGCGCUCGUGAUUGUGGAGAAUACUAAUUUGGUGUUGCCUUUGCUUGCUGCUUCAUUUUAUAAGCACCCCUCGAAGAGUUUAUCAGUUAUCGGGGUUACUGGGACUAAUGGGAAAACAACGACUACCCAUUUGAUUAAGGCAAUGUAUGAAGCUAUGGGGUUGAGAACAGGGAUGUUAGGUACUUUGGGAUAUUACGUUCAUGGAGAUCAUAAGUUAGAAGCAGCUAAUACUACGCCUGAUGCUGUUUCAGUCCAGAGAUUAAUGGCCAAGAUGGUUCAUAAUGGGACUGAGGCAGUUGUGAUGGAGGCUUCUUCUCAUGGUAUGGCACUUGGUAGGUGUGAUGAGAUAGAUUUCGACAUUGCUGUUUUUACAAACCUUACAAGAGACCACCUUGACUUCCAUGGGACCGAGGAGGAAUAUAGGGAAAGCAAAGCGAAGCUUUUUGCCAAGAUGGUUGAUCCUGAAAGGCAUCGAAAGGUUGUGAACAUUGAUGAUCCAAAUGCUUCUUAUUUUAUUGCGCAGGGUAGUUCUAAUGUUCCGGUAGUGACAUACGCAAUGGGAAAUAAGACUGCUGAUGUUCAUCCUUUGAAGUUUGAGCUAUCGUUAUUUGAGACACAGGUGUUGGUUCAAACACCUCAGGGAAUUCUCGAGAUAUCUUCUGGGUUGCUUGGGAGACAUAACAUAUAUAACAUUCUUGCAGCGGUUGCAGUUGGGAUUGCAGUUGGGGCACCAUUGGAGGACAUAGUGAGAGGGAUUGAGGAAGUGGAUGGUGUUCCUGGGAGGUUUGAGUUGAUAGAUGAGGAGCAAGCGUUUGCUGUGGUUGUGGACUAUGCCCAUACACCAGAUGCAUUGUCGAGGCUUUUGGAUGCUGCGAGAGAAUUGGGGCCCCGCAGAAUUAUUACUGUUUUUGGAUGCGGUGGUGAAAGAGAUAGAGGGAAAAGGCCUCUGAUGACAAAAAUUGCUACUGAUAAAAGUGAUGUGGUUAUAUUGACUUCUGACAAUCCAAGGAAUGAAGAUCCACUUGACAUCUUGGAUGACAUGUUGGCUGGCAUUGGUUGGACUAUGCAAGAUUAUCUAAAACAUGGUGAAAAUGACUAUUAUCCACCCCUUUCAAAUGGCCAUAGGCUUUUCUUACAUGACAUUAGAAGGGUAGCUGUGCGCGCUGCUGUUGCUAUGGGCGAGGAAGGUGAUAUAGUUGUUGUUGCUGGUAAAGGUCAUGAAACUUCCCAAAUAGAAGGCGAUAAGAAGGAGUUCUUUGAUGAUAGAGAAGAGUGCAGAGAAGCACUGCACUAUGUUGAUGAAUUGCACCAAGCAGGGAUAGACACGAGCGAGUUCCCGUGGCGGUUACCAGAGAGCCACUGAUGUGUCCUACUAUAAUACAUGAGGUCAUACCUCAAGCAGGUCAUAUUAUGAAGACAUAAGUUCUGUUAUUUCAUGAUUACUAUUGAGCUAUCAUGGAGUGAUAUUACAGUUAGGGGCUUCUACUAGAUAAAGGCAAUUUUGUCAUGAAGAUGAUCCUCGGUCUCUUCUAUCAGAGCCAUCUGCAGUUUGUAUCUUGUUUGUUUGUAAAUUCCUGUUAUAUUUUGUUAUAGAUGUUAUGUAACAAUAAGGCUUGGUGCAGCCUUUCUAAAGCCCCUCAAUAUUGGAAGUUUUUCCAAGUAGUUCAGAAUUUGGUGUUAAAUGAUAUAAUUACUGGAAGCAGAAGCUUGUUGUCUCUUUACUUUUUCUCACUCUUGUAAAUGAAGAAAUUGAAUGGACAGCAAUGGAGAAUAUGCAGCAAGCUGAGUCCGCAGUCAAGAAGUUGGAGCUCUGAGAUUCUCUUUUGAGAUGCUCUUUUUUCUGCCUCAAAGUCGACUCUCAGAUUUGCCGCCUGUUCAUCUCAUCUUUCAAAUGUUGAUGUCACUAAGUUCACCACUCCAUUCUACAGGGAGUAGGGAGCACUGUAUGAAAUUUUCGGUAAUGUCAUUACUUGAGAGAGCAUAUCGUGCAAUGUUGAAAUCAAUCUUCAACAAAAACAGAUACCAAUGAAAUUUCUGUCAAGAAAUUUAUUUAUUAAGUAUUUGCUUUUCCUUGUUUAGGUUAACCUAAAAAGGGAGAAUAUAUUAGUUAGUCUUCCAGAUUCAUUUAACCAUCCCAGCUUAGUGAAAUUGUAAGAGAAGAACUUUACCUUAUUUUCUGUUUUACUUUCUCUUCUUCCUCUUUCUCAUGAUAAUUCUUUUUUUUCCAAUUAUAUUCCUUUUAUUUGUUUUUUCAGUUAAUUUAUAAUAUUCUUUCAUUGCCUUUCCAAACUAUCUAUAUUUCUUAGUUGUAUAACCAUGUAUUUAUGUUCUCAAGUGGUUAUUUGUUUUGUUUGCAGUUGGUGACGUUGAUGGCACCGACCCACCAGUUGUAUGUAAGAUGGACUAUGUCAUAAUUUUUUCAGCUGUGGCUCCUAUGUUCAUCAAUGCGAUACGCGUAAAGCUCAAGAGAGUUGGAUAUGGGGAUAAGUCAGUCAAUUUGUUUGUUAAACAAUUGAAAGUUGGUAUGCAUAUAAGAUACUUUUUUCUCUAGUUGUGCAUUGAAUAUAAUUACAUGUAUUUCGAUAUAAUAACAUGCAGAUGGCUGUUCUUGUUUUGAGUAGCAAACAUGUUUGGAUUUCCAUAUUUUAAACAGGUAAAACCAGGCCCCGCCGAAUUCAAGUCAAAUCAAAAUAGGAUAUGAAUCUCCUGUUUUCUGUGUUUGAGCAGAAAGAGACCAAGACAGUUCAAGCAUUUGUGGCCCCCACUCUUCCUCUGCCACUUCCACUGUCAUUUUCGUUUCCUUAAAAAAAGACCUGGUAAUGAGAAUAGGACACAAGCAUUUUAAUGAAGCAGCUAGAACCAAGGACUAAGAUGUUAAGCUGGAGUGAAUGGUGGUUAAGAUCUACCUCACUUCUUCAGAUAGAAAAAUGCAAUAUGGAAAGCAGCCUAAGACAGAGAACUGAUGAGACAAUUGUUAGACGACAACAGAAUGAAGAAGAAGAAGAAGAAGAAGAACUAGUUUAUGUGGGAGUGAAGAAGGAACCCUGAGAAGGGAAGGCUACUUUCCGGUGGCUUCUUGAGAAUACUUAUGAAGAGAAACUGAAGGUUGUUAUUGUCCAUGUUCAUAUCCCAAGACAGACGAUCCCCUUCAGUAUACACUCUCUAUCUCUGUUACAUAUGAAAAUUUUCUUUUCUA